UACGUAGGGUGCAAGCGUUGUCCGGAAUUAUUGGGCGUAAAGGGCUCGUAGGCGGUCUGUCGCGUCGAAAGUGAAAACUCAGGGCUUAACCCUGAGCCUGCUUCCGAUACGGGCAGACUAGAGGUAUGCAGGGGAGAACGGAAUUCCUGGUGUAGCGGUGAAAUGCGCAGAUAUCAGGAGGAACACCGGUGGCGAAGGCGCCACUCUGGGCCGGUACUGACGCUGAGGAGCGAAAGCGUGGGUAGCAAACAGG
rnacentral:rRNA from 1 species